rnacentral:rRNA from 1 species
AGCUGCGGCCAUACCACCCUGAACGCGUGCGAUCUCGUCUGAUCUCGGAAGCUAAGUGGGGUCGGGCCUGGUUAGUACGUGGAUGGGAGGCAGUGUGGUUU